GAUGAACGCUGGCGGCGUGCCUAAUACAUGCAAGUCGAGCGAACAGACGAGGAGCUUGCUCCUUUGACGUUAGCGGCGGACGGGUGAGUCACACGUAGGUAACCUACCUAUAAGACUGGGAUAACUUCGGGAAACCGGAGCUAACACCGGAUAAUAUUUCGAACCGCAUGGUUCGUUAGUGAAAGAUGGCUUUGCUAUCACUUAUAGAUGGACCCGAGCCGUUUUAGCUAGUUGGUACGGUAACGGCUUACCAAGGCUACGAUGCGUAGCCGACCUGAGAGGAUGAUCGGCCACACUGGAACUGAGACACGGUCCAGACUCCUACGGGAGGCAGCAGUAGGGAAUCUUCCGCAAUGGGCGAAAGCCUGACGGAGCAACGCCGCGUGAGUGAUGAAGGUCUUCGGAUCGUAAAACUCUGUUAUUAGGGAAGAACAAACGUGUAAUUAACUGUGCACGUCUUGACGGUACCUAAUCAGAAAGCCACGGCUAACUACGUG
rnacentral:rRNA from 1 species